UACGGAGGGUGCAAGCGUUAUCCGGAUUUACUGGGUUUAAAGGGUGCGCAGGCGGUUAUGUAAGUCAGUGGUGAAAUCUCUGGGCUUAACCCGGAAAUUGCCAUUGAUACUAUAUAUCUUGAAUGCUGUGGAGGUAAGCGGAAUAUGUCAUGUAGCGGUGAAAUGCUUAGAGAUGACAUAGAACACCUAUUGCGAAGGCAGCUUACUACGCAGAUAUUGACGCUGAGGCACGAAAGCGUGGGGAUCAAACAGG
rnacentral:rRNA from 1 species